rnacentral:tRNA from 1 species
GCAGUGGUGGCUCAGUGGGGGAAUUCUCAUUUUCUAUGUGGAAGACCCAGGUUCAAUUCUUGGCCAAUGCA